CAGAUUCUAAAAUAUUAAACAUUUUCAAAAUAUGGUCAUUUUCUGCAUUUAAAACAUAUUACAACUCAAUUGAUGAAUUACAUCAUAGUCAUGUAUGAAACUACAUUUCAUCAAUUAAUUACAAUCAUAAUUUAAUUACAAUUGCAUCAUAGCAAUGCAAAAACAUGACAAAAUUACAACUAAAGUGACUAAUUAUGACAAUACACUACACAACAUUAGUUUUGACUUUGCCUUUUUAAGCCUAUUAACCUCCAUCUCCCAUUUAAAUGUGUCUCUUCUCAUAUUUUUCAACUUGUCAUUUAGCUUUGUGUUUAAUUUUCUCUAACAGUAAGCUCAUAACUUCAAUUUUGUUAUUCAUCACACUCAUUGCCUCGUCUUUAUUAGGAGGCAAUUACAAGCACUCGAAAUAGUCAUAAUUUCUCACAGAUUCCUAUCAAAAAUAAAGGAAGGAAAAAAAAUCAAAACAGAGGAGAGAGGACUCACAGUAAUAAGGGAAUGACACUUACCCUAUAGUUGCGGUAGUCAUAAAAUCUUUUUCCUCUUGAUCCAUCCUUCAUUGAAACACAAAUUCGAGCUGGAAUAUCACAAUAACACAUCCGUUGUUCUGGAUCAAUUGACGCAGAUCUCGAACGUGAUACAACCAUGUAAGAUCGACGCUUGGUUCGCAUUAACCUGGAAAACAAAAACCCAACAAAAGCCCUUAUUCUACGUCCCUAAUCAAUGCCAAUUUGGGUACCGAUGGAAUUCUUAUCCGACGGAAUUCUUGACGGUUCUUAUCUUCGACGCGAAUAUAUACGACCGAAUUUCUGACGGAUAUUUUCGUCGGAAAUAAUAUAUUUUCGACUGAAUAGACUUAGGUCUGACGGAAUAUUCCGUCGGAAUUAAGCUUUUUUCUUGUAGUGAGUAAGUUUCUGAAACCUUAGUUCUUCUUAUUUCUUGACCGCUAGAAAUGAGGAUAAUAUAAAGACCCAACUUGGAUUCUC
rnacentral:lncRNA from 1 species